UGGCGGGAGUCUUGACCGCCGCCGGGGUUCUAGGUGUCUCCGCACAAGCGCAAGGCAUCUGGUCGCGGUGGCUAUGUUUGUGUCCGAUUUCCGCAAAGAGUUCUACGAGGUGGUCCAGAGCCAGAGGGUCCUUCUCUUCGUGGCCUCGGACGUGGAUGCUCUGUGCGCUUGCAAGAUCCUUCAGGCCCUGUUCCAGUGUGACCACGUGCAGUACACGCUGGUUCCAGUUGCUGGGUGGCAAGAACUUGAAACUGCAUUUCUUGAGCAUAAAGCACAGUUCCGUUAUUUUAUUCUCAUAAACUGUGGAGCUAAUGUAGACCUAUUGGAUAUCCUUCAACCCGACGAAGACACUAUAUUCUUUGUGUGUGAUACCCACAGGCCAGUCAACGUUGUGAAUGUGUACAAUGACACUCAGAUCAAAUUACUCAUUAAACAAGAUGAUGACCUUGAAGUUCCUGCCUAUGAUGACAUCUUUAGGGAUGACGAGGAAGAUGAAGAGCAUUUGGGAAAUGACAGCGAUGGAUCAGAGCCUUCUGGGUCAGAGCCUUCUGAGAAGCGCACACGGUUAGAAGAGGAGAUAGUGGAGCAAACCAGGAGGCGGCGGCAGCGGAGAGAAUGGGAGGCCCGGAGAAGAGACAUCCUCUUUGACUACGAGCAGUAUGAAUAUCAUGGGACAUCAUCGGCCAUGGUGAUGUUUGACCUGGCAUGGAUGAUGUCCAAGGACCUGAACGACAUGCUGUGGUGGGCCAUCGUUGGACUGACGGACCAGUGGGUGCAGGACAAGAUCACCCAGAUGAAAUACGUGACUGACGUCGGCAUCCUGCAGCGCCACGUAUCCCGGCACAACCACCGGAACGAGGACGAGGAGAAUACCCUCUCCGUGGACUGCACGCGGGUCUCCUUUGAGUACGACCUCCGCCUGGCACUCUACCAGCACUGGUCCCUCCACGACAGCCUGUGCAACACCAGCUACACCGCGGCCAGGUUCAAGCUGUGGUCUGUGCAUGGGCAGAAGCGGCUUCAGGAGUUCCUGGCAGACAUGGGGCUUCCCCUGAAACAGGUGAAGCAGAAGUUCCAGUCCAUGGACAUCUCCUUGAAGGAGAAUUUGAGAGAAAUGAUUGAAGAGUCUGCUACUAAAUUUGGGAUGAAGGACAUGCGCGUGCAGACUUUCAGCAUUCACUUUGGGUUCAAGCAUAAGUUCCUGGCCAGUGAUGUGGUCUUUGCCACCAUGUCUCUGUUGGAGAAUCCCGAGAAGGAUGGCUCAGGAACAGAUCACUUCAUCCAGGCUCUGGACAGUCUCUCCAGGAGUAACCUGGACAAGCUAUACCUGGGUCUGGAGCUCGCCAAGAAGCAGCUGCGAGCCACCCAGCAGACCAUCGCCAGCUGCCUCUGCACCAACCUCGUCAUCUCCCAGGGGCCUUUCCUCUACUGCUCCCUGACGGAGGGCACUCCUGAUGCCGCACUGUUCUCCAAGCCGGUGUCCCUGAACCUGCUCAGUCGACACCUGCUCAAGUCCUUUGUGUAUUCGACAAAGAACCGGCGCUGUAAGCUGCUGCCGCUGGUGAUGGCCGCCCCACUGAACGCAGAGCAGGGCACCGUGACCAUGGUGGGCAUCCCUCCAGAGACCGACAGCUCGGACAGGAAGAACUUUUUUGGGCGGGCGUUUGAGAAGGCAGCGGCAAGCACCAGCUCCCGGACACUGCACAACCAUUUUGACUUCUCAGGUUUUAAAGUAAAAAGACUUCUGACACUUCAGCCCCUACAUUAGUUUGCUGAGGCUGCCAUAACUAAGUGCCAAGACUUGGUGGCUCAACCAGUUAUUUCCUGUCGGGCCUAGAGGCAAGAAGGCCAAGGUCAAGGUGGGCAGGGCUGGUUUCUCCUGAGCCUUGCUCCUGGCUGUGGACGGCCGUCUUCUCGCUGUGUCCUCAUCUGGUGUCUCUGUGCACACAUCGCUGAAAGGACAUUUUCUUGCUUCACCACCACCCGAUUCCUCACCAAUGACAGAUCACUGUCUCAGGAGACCCAGUCUUUCUUCACGUUGCCGCAGCUGUCUCCAAGCUGGUUCGAGCCAGGCACAGUCACGGCCGGGGCCUGGGUGGUGUCGGUUCACCCCGAGAGCAGUAGCCCCUGCUGGCCGUUCGUGCCUGAGAUGUGUGAGAGGUUGGCACCUAUGGCCUUGCUUCCACAGGGAGGAGUCGGGGCCGAGCUGCCUGGUUUACCCUGAGAGUGGAGAACCAGGGCUGGGGGUGUAGAGUGAGCCUGGCCAGUGCCUACCUGGACCUGGGGCUCCCAGGGCUGUGGCUGGCGGCGUGGACCGCCCCCAGGACCAGGCCAGACCCUUCUCGGGACCUGGUUUUGCCCUGUGUGCUGAAGGCCUGUGACUCAGCCAAGCAUGAUGGCCCUGUGAGAUGCAGGCAGCUUGCAGUGUGUCCCCUUGUGUGGAAGGGGCACUGAGGCUGAAGGUGGCCUGCCCACCCGGGGCUUCCCUCAGCCUAUGUGGGGCGGGGGUCUGUGCCUGGCAGGAUGGGCAGGCCCAGCCCUGCCCGGGUCUAUGAGGCUCUGAGUCAUCACACCCGCAUGUCCCUCUGCAGGCUGUGACUGCUGGACUCCAGAGGGCCCUCCCCAUAGGCCCCAGCUCUGGCCUCUCCUGGCACAGCCAGCACUUUUGAAAUUAAAUACAGCGGGACGGGAGAGGCGACCCAUUGGCCCAGAGUGCCCCAGGCAUGGGGGCCUGUGCAGCUGGAAUGUGGCAGCUUGUUCUGGCCAGGGAGGGGACAGAGGGAGUUCCGUGCCUUGCCUUGUUUUCCCACUCCUCCCUCUCACAAAGUGUUUUUCUUUCAUUA